UUUACACCUUCUUCUCCAUCAGUCUACUUUUUUUUUUUUUCAUUCCAAUAUCGUCCUUCUCCAUUUCGGCUUCGCUUUCUUACUAUUUAUCAAAAACAAUAGCUCAAUUUCUGUCAGAAAGAACAGAGCUUUCUUCAUUGUGCUUCAUCGGAUUCUGCUCCCGCUCGGUGAAGAAGAUAAAGCUUACAUUAGCUUCAAAUUUUUUGCUUACUUAAUCAGUAAUCAGUACCUAUUUCAAUAGAGAAUGUGGGUUCGAGAAAAAUUAUAGGGUUAUUUUUGUUUCGUACCCACUGUCCUGAAGAAUUAUGGUGUAUCCGCCUCUAUUUAUUUGCAAGUAAGGAGUAUCAUUAUGUGUUGUUGGAACAUAUCUAAUUCCACAUCUCAACAAGGAAGGUAGUAAUUGUCCUCUGACUUGAUCCCUUUCUCCAUCAUUUUCAUUGACUCUAGUAGUAUUCUAGUAAGUAUUUUGUGUUUUUCAUUUUCCUAUCUAUCUUUUCUCUGGUAUUCUGCUUUGUUCAUUUGUAUUGUUUAAUUAUCCUCUUGGUUUUCUGUGUAUGUAAUGCAACGAUAGAUACACUCUCCAAAAUUUACAAGCAUCCUGAUCGACGAGGUAAAAUUGAAAAAGCUUGAAAAUGGAGGAAGAGAAUAUUCCUCAGUUCUGCUAAAUUUUCAAAUAUUCUAUCUUGGUGAGGAUAUAAACCAUUGACUCUAUUAUUUUUGCAUUUAUGCUUUAUUUUUUUUAAUUCAAUGUAUAAGCAGAUUUUUCAUUUACAAGUAUAUGAUUUUCCCUCUUUUUAAUUUUUUAAUGGUAGAUUCUGAUUCAAGUAUAUGCGUGCUGUUUUUACUGUUUGAACGCUUCUACAGCCACAUCAGUUGCCAUCUUGGCAAAAAAAAUCUAACUAAAAGGGAAGAGCUUUGUGUAGUUAAGGACGAUAUGCCUAACCCCAUAGGUGACUUUAACAUAACCAUCUUUCCUUUUGCAAGGCCAUAACUUUUGAUAAAACAAAAAUAGGUUAUUUGAAAGAUGCUAUCCAGCGUAUCCUUUAUUGGGAAUCUAUUUGCAAAUUCAUUUGUAUCUAAAAGAAUGAAGCUUUUCAUGAAGAAAAUGAUUAUGGAUAAUUCUUUCAUGGUGUCCUGCAUUUUGAUUGUGCUACAGUUAGUAAUGUUGCUUUGUCAAGAAUUUAUCAUUACCUGAAAGUUCGUCCUAUCUCUUUGUCUGGAGAAUUUAUUUAAACAGUAAGGUAUACAUGAUUAAUAUCAUUGAUUUUUCUGCUUUUUAUUUGAUAUCUAGGUCAGUAAGAAUGUGUAUCCGGACGAUCCUUCUAAUAUGUUUGUGAACUUAAUGGUGAUCAAAUGUAGUACUUUGAUAUUUGAACUCCUUGCUGCCCCUCUCUAUUUUCAUUGCAUAAAUGAAAUUUUGUUUUACUGUUUUCGUAUUUUCCUGGUGAUAUGUGCCUUCUAAAACUAGGUUGCUUUAUUAUACGUUAAUGCAUGAGAUGGAUUCAUUGACUCCCCACGUUGUUUAUGUCGCACCAAGGUCAUAGUAUGUUCUGUUGUCGCUCAGACGCAUGUUCAUAUGAAGAGUAUAUAAAAGGAGUGGAAGGUUCUACUGGUUCGGGGCAUAUUGGUAUAUUAUUCAUGAGGAAAUGGCUGCAAGAAGACAACAACAUAACACGAGAGAACUUUGUCAAAAAAGUAAAAAGAGUGGAAGGUUCCUACUGGUUCAGGGCACAUUGGCAUAUUAUUCUUGAGGAAAUGGUUGCAAGAAGACAACAACGAAACACGAGAGAACUUUGAUGUUUAGGUAAUAAUGUACUCUUCUCUUUUCCAUUUUUCAGUGUAAAGAUUUCUUCCUGUCCCGACCCAAUUUAUGGAUCACGCAGGCACUAAGCCUAUCCCACCUG